CGUAGGUAACCUGCCUGGUAGCGGGGGAUAACUAUUGGAAACGAUAGCUAAUACCGCAUAAUAUUGACUAUUGCAUGAUAGUCAAUUGAAAGGUGCAAAUGCACCACUACCAGAUGGACCUGCGUUGUAUUAGCUAGUUGGUGGGGUAACGGCUCACCAAGGCGACGAUACAUAGCCGACCUGAGAGGGUGAUCGGCCACACUGGGACUGAGACACGGCCCAG
rnacentral:rRNA from 1 species